rnacentral:rRNA from 1 species
UACGGAGGGAGCUAGCGUUGUUCGGAAUCACUGGGCGUAAAGCGCACGUAGGCGGCUUUUUAAGUCAGGGGUGAAAUCCUGGAGCUCAACUCCAGAACUGCCUUUGAUACUGGGAAGCUCGAGUCCGGGAGAGGUGAGUGGAACUCCGAGUGUAGAGGUGAAAUUCGUAGAUAUUCGGAAGAACACCAGUGGCGAAGGCGGCUCACUGGCCCGGUACUGACGCUGAGGUGCGAAAGCGUGGGGAGCAAACAGG